rnacentral:rRNA from 1 species
GACGAACGCUGGCGGCGUGCUUAACACAUGCAAGUCGAACGGAAAGGCCCUGCUUUUGUGGGGUGCUCGAGUGGCGAACGGGUGAGUAACACGUGAGUAACCUGCCCUUGACUUUGGGAUAACUUCAGGAAACUGGGGCUAAUACCGGAUAGGAGCUCCUGCUGCAUGGUGGGGGUUGGAAAGUUUCGGCGGUUGGGGAUGGACUCGCGGCUUAUCAGCUUGUUGGUGGGGUAGUGGCUUACCAAGGCUUUGACGGGUAGCCGGCCUGAGAGGGUGACCGGCCACAUUGGGACUGGGAUACGGCCCAGACUCCUACGGGAGGCAGCAGUGGGGAAUAUUGCACAAUGGGCGGAAGCCUGAUGCAGCAACGCCGCGUGCGGGAUGACGGCCUUCGGGUUGUAAACCGCUUUCGCCUGUGACGAAGCGUGAGGGACGGUAAUGGGUAAAGAAACACCGGCUAACUACGU